rnacentral:rRNA from 1 species
CUGGUUGAUCCUGCCAGAGGUCACUGCUAUCGGGGUUCGAUUAAGCCAUGCGAGUCGAGAGGGUUCAGACCCUCGGCGGACUGCUCAGUAACACGUGGAUAACCUGACCUGUGGUGGAGCAUAACCCCGGGAAACUGGGGAUAAUACUCCAUAAGUUACGAUAUCUGGAAUGAUUUGUAGCUCAAAGCUCCGGCGCCACAGGAUGGAUCUGCGGCCGAUUAGGUAGUAGUUGGGGUAGAGGCCCAACUAGCCUGUAAUCGGUACGGGUUGUGGGAGCAAGGGCCCGGAGAUGGAAUCUGAGACACGAUUCCAGGCCCUACAGGGCGCAGCAGGCGCGAAAACUUUACAAUGCAGGAAACUGUGAUAAGGGAACCCCGAGUGCCCGUACACGCGGGCUUGUCUGGGUGUUUAAAAUGCACCCAAAGAAAGGGCCGGGCAAGACCGGUGCCNGCCGCCGCGGUAAUACCGNGCGGCUCGAGUGGUGACCACUUUUAUUGGGCUUAAAGCGUUCGUAGCUGGACUGCUAAGUCCCUUGGGAAAUCCGCCGGCUUAACCGGCGGGCGUCUAAGGGAUACUGGCAGUCUUGGGACCGGGAGAAGGUAAGAAGUACUCCGGGGGGGUAGGAGUGAAAUCCUGUAAUCCCCGGGGGACAGCCGGUNGGCGAAGGCGGCUUACCAAACGGCUCCNACAGUGAGGGACGAAAGCUGGG